rnacentral:rRNA from 1 species
AACGUAGGAGACAAACGUUAUCCGGAGUUACUGGGCGUAAAGGGCGUGUAGGUGGUAGUGUAAGUCUGGCGUGAAAUUUUUCGGCUUAACCGGGAAAGGUCGUCGGAUACUGCAUAGCUAGAGUACGGUAGAGGGGGAUGGAAUUCCGCGUGUAGCAGUGAAAUGCGUAGAUAUGCGGAGGAACACCGAUGGCGAAGGCAAUCCCCUGGACCUGUACUGACGCUCAUGCACGAAAGCGUGGGGAGCAAACAGG